rnacentral:rRNA from 1 species
CUAAGCCGAGGCCGAAAGGCGUAGGUGAUGGACAACAGGUUGAUAUUCCUGUACCGCCAAUAAGCGUUUGAGAGAUGGAGUGACACAGUAGGAUAAGCUAACCGUACUGUUGGUUAUGUACGGCUAAGCAUUGAGGCAGUCUAAAUAGGCAAAUCCGUUUAGACAAUGCUAGGAUGUGAUGGGGAAGCCCUUCGGGGCGAAGUAGCUGAUUUCACACUGUCAAGAAAAGCUUCUAUCGAGUUUAAAGGCGCCCGUACCGUAAACCGACACAGGUGGGUGAGGAGAGUAUCCUAAGGCCAGCGAGAGAACUAUUGUUAAGGAACUCGGCAAAAUGACCCCGUAACUUAGGGAGAAGGGGUGCCUGUCUAUGACAGGCCGCAGAGAAUAGGCCCAAGCGACUGUUUACCAAAAACACAGGUUUCUGCUAAGUCGCAAGACGAUGUAUAGGAGCUGACGCCUGCCCGGUGCUGGAAGGUUAAGGGGAUCUGUUAGAGCAAUCGAAGCAGUGAACUUAAGCCCCAGUAAACGGCGGCCGUAACUAUAACGGUCCUAAGGUAGCGAAAUUCCUUGUCGGGUAAGUUCCGACCCGCACGAAAGGCGUAACGAUUUGGGCACUGUCUCAACAAUAGACUCGGUGAAAUUGUAAUCCCGGUGAAGAUGCCGGGUACCUGCGACAGGACGGAAAGACCCCAUGGAGCUUUACUGUAGCUUGACGUUGGGUCUUGGUACUACAUGUACAGGAUAGGUGGGAGACUAUGAAGCAUGGACGCCAGUCUGUGUGGAGUCAUCCUUGGGAUACCACCCUUGUAGUACUGGGAUCCUAACCAUAGGCCUUGAAUCAGGUCUUGGAACACCGUCAGGUGGGCAGUUUGACUGGGGCGGUCGCCUCCUAAAAAGUAACGGAGGCGCUCAAAGGUUUCCUCAGCACGGUCGGAAAUCGUGCGAAGAGUGUAAAGGCAAAAGGAAGCUUGAUUGCAAGACAUACAGGUCGAGCAAGGACGAAAGUCGGACUUAGUGAUCCGGUGGUUCCGCAUGGAAGGGCCAUCGCUCAACGGAUAAAAGCUACCCUGGGGAUAACAGGCUUAUCUCCCCCAAGAGUCCACAUCGACGGGGAGGUUUGGCACCUCGAUGUCGGCUCAUCACAUCCUGGGGCUGUAGUAGGUCCCAAGGGUUGGGCUGUUCGCCCAUUAAAGUGGUACGCGAGCUGGGUUCAGAACGUCGUGAGACAGUUCGGUCCCUAUCCGUCGCAGGCGUAGGAAAUUUGAGAAGACCUGUCCUUAGUACGAGAGGACCGGGAUGGACGUACCUCUGGUGUACCAGUUGUUCUGCCAAGGGCAUGGCUGGGUAGCUAUGUACGGAAUGGAUAAGCGCUGAAAGCAUCUAAGCGCGAAGCCAACUUCAAGAUAAGAUUUCCCACCGUAAGGGUAAGACCCCAGGAAGACUACCUGGUUGAUAGGUCGAAGGUGUAAGUGCAGUAAUGUAUUUAGCUUAUCGAUACUAAUAGGUCGAGGACUUGACCAA